GGACGAGGCUCUUUAUUUUCUCUGAUGGUAAAGCUGCCCAUUCUUCUUGGCAAAAAGCCUCCAGUUCCUGUAAGUUUCUGGGCUGUCUUGCAUGAACUUCACAUUUGAGAUCUCCCCAGAGUAGCUCAAUGAUUUUGAGGUCAGAAGACUGCUGUGGCCCCUCCAGAACCG